rnacentral:pre_miRNA from 1 species
AUAAUACUCCCUCCGUCCCAAAAUUUUUGUCUUAGAUUUGUCUAAAUACGGAUGUAUCUAGUUACAUUUUAGUGUUAGAUACAUAUGUAUCUAGACAAAUCUAAGACAAGAAUUUUUGGACGGAGGGAGUAGUAG